GCGCCCUUAGUUGAGCCUGGGCUUACCAUCAUUAUAUAGUACCUUGUCUUUUUCUUUCUUUACAAAUUUUCCAAAUAUCCUUACCAGGACACCUCUGUUUCCUUCAGUUUUCCUCCCACUCCUUGCUUUCCUUUCCCGGAAACCUCCCUUUUCUGCAUCACCACUGUACCCAAAGCCACCAUAAAAGAAACCCUUUUGACUUCAAGUUCUGCUUCACUCAGUGAAAUGGAUAAAAUGCUGAGCGUAAAUCAGAAAAAGACAAACAAACAGCCCAAAAACAAGAAAAAGCCAGUGAAGGUUGUGUACAUAUCAAAUCCCAUGAAGGUGAAGACUAGCGCCUCAGAAUUUAGAGCUUUGGUGCAAGAACUGACUGGCCAAGAUGCCGAUAUGCCGGACCCCACGAAGUAUUCGGACACAGACAGUGUCGGUGGCAGCUGCCAGGAGGAGGUUUCUACUGAAUUGAAGACUAUGGAGGAUGAUCAUGUAGUUCAACAACCGCUGGUGCAACCCAAAAAUGAAAUGCCAAAAAGAGCUGAUUGCAAUAUAUAUGGAACAUGUGACCGUGAGGAUGAUGAUCUUUUGUUUAUGCCUGAGAGUUUUCCUGGAUUGGUUGCUUCAAAUUUGUGGUAUGGGGCUAGUAUUCAUGGUGAUGAGCUCAAAAGUCUUUUUUGAUAUAAUGUAAGUUUGGUGAACCCUUUAGGGUAAGUUGAUAUGGUAUGGUUCAUGGGUAAAUAUGAUGCUAGCUAGGUAAUUAAUUAACCUUGUUUGUGUCUGUAAUUCUGUCUGUAACAAUAGCUACUUCAAAUAAAUAAGUGCAGCAACUGAAAGACAGGCUUGCUGAUCUCUUUCCUAGUCAAGAUCCAGCUCAAUUGCUGAAGAAAAAGUUUGCCCUCGUCAAUGGCUCGAGAUCUAGCUACGUAAGUAGUUAACCUUGUCCACUGCUUUUUUUUUUAAUUAAUUCUUUUCUUUCCCCCUUAAAUUGAAGGGAUAGCACCUUUCUUCCCUGGAUAAGGGCAAAUUUAAUGUAGUUUGGUCAAGACUUGUGAACGAAGGAGUUCUAAUGUAGUAUCUGCCUAAAGGUUGAGGUCCAGGUUAAUGUUUUUCAAAAGAAUAGAAGGGUAGAAAGUACUGUCUAAUUUGCUAUCUAUAGCAUGUACGGGGGGAUGGCCAUCCAUCUGUAACAUGUACAUGAUAGCGAUCUUUGUUGGCCAACCACAUAUGCUAAAAGAUUAGUGCUAUUUUGUUGUAAAAGACUGUGGAGGCUCUUGUCAAGUCAUAGAUGAGAAGAGUCGGAUACGGGCAGGAGCAGCCGUCAGAAGAGUCACUUGUGGAAAUAAAAUUAAGCAAUUUACACGCGGCACAAUUAGAAUAUUCAUGCAAGAUAUUUAUAAGGGAUAAUUUCAAAAACCUCCCCUGAGGUUAUGACAAUUUCACUUAGCUCCCCUCAAAUUUUGAAAUUAAUACUGACCUCCCUUAGCACAAUAAUACAACUAUAAUGACCUUUGUCUAAUAGAUGAUUCACAAUAUAAUGGAAUGAGGUAUAUACUUAUGAAAAAAAAAAAAAAUUGUAGAAACCGUGUCUCUUCAGCUCACAACCAAGGAUCGUCCAUUCACUCUUUUUUAAUCUCAUUAUGUUCUCAUUUGUCUAUGAAUUCAUCUCUAUCUCCCUUCACCCUCUUUCCUUCAAUAAUUCCCUCUAAUAAUGCCUACCACUAUUGCCAACCAUUCCACAAUUGAUCCCUCUAAUUCUAUUGUGUGUGUGUAUUUUUAAUUCUUCUUGUCUUCCCUUUAAAAUUAGUUUUGAUUUUCCUGUGGAAGUAGAACUUCUCUAUAUUUAAAAUCUUGUUUGAUAAUUCAAUUCAGCACUUAAAUUUAAUAGAUUCAGAUGUUAACAUGUUCAGAUGCGUUUGAUAACGAAAAGUAGAACAUCUGAACUGAUUAAGUGACAUUGAAUUUUUUGACAAAACUUGCUCUAAAAAAUAAGUGAUAAAUUAUUUAUUUGUCAUUUAAUAUGAUAUACAUUCAAAUGUAUUCGAUUCAAUGAUAUAACAGAUUCAAACUUCAAAUUUUCAUAUUUCAAUUUUUAGACUUCAGUUUUUUCAAAUGCACCCUAAGAUAUUAAUAUUUUUAGGGAUUUGGUGGUAGAUUAGAUUAUUUUGUACAGAUAUGGUCUCCAACAUUGGAUUUGAAGUUUGAGGUAUGAUUGGUUGCGAAUGAAAUUUUGGUUUUUGGCAAAAUGAAUUUCUUGAAGAUAUAAAUAGUCACAAGGAUGACUUUAUUCUUUUAAACCUAAUUAAUUCCAUCCAAACCCAGGAAGCUCCCUUGAGGAUUCCCUUGAUGGCCACAAUAUGGCUCGUGUACAAGAAUUUGUGUGGAACCAAGCUUUGAUAUCCCAAGCUAAUGAUUAUGAAAACAUAGGCAUCUAAUUGUAAGGUUGACCAUUCCAUGGGACCUAUAAAAUUUUACUGAAGUAGUGAAUGAUUUUUUCAGUGUCGGAUUUAGUUUAAAAUGUGGGUUACAAGAAACAAUUUUUAUGAUGAUGUUGACGGAAUUGCUUGGCUUGAUAGUAUUGUUGGUUUGGUGCAAAUGUAAAUAAAGGUGAUUUAUAAAGAACCUUUUGUUUUAUUAUUGUACAAAAAGGGUAGUUUAGAAUUUUUGAAAAAAAAAAUCUAACUUGUUGAGCCUAUAUUGUUACAUGCAUAGUAAAAGAAAGGGAGAUAGGUGUGAUUUAUAAAACUUGAGAGGAGCUCUCUGUAAUUGUCAAAAACUUCAGGGGAGGUUUCUGAAAGUAUUCCUAUUUAUAAGGGCAUCUUUGGGUUUCUACCAAACUUUUUUUUAAGAAAAUUGCAGUAAAUUAAUUUGUCAUUUAAGAAUAUUAGAGUAUAUCUAUUCUGAUUGGUUGAGGACUCAUUUUCGUGCAAUGUAAGCUAGUUUGGAAAUCCUUCAUGGUGACCACAAACCAUAUGCCAGUCCCUUUUUUUAUUUUUUCUGUAAAUUACAUACUCCUUCUGUUCCACUGAAAAUAUCAUAUUUUUCCUUUUAAGAUACUUCAAAAAUAUUUAUCAUGUUCAGAAAAUCAAAACACUUUUUAAUCUCUCCUUCCAAAAUAGGCACUCCUUUUAAUCAUAUGCAUCUUAUCAUUCAAAUUCAAAUUUGAAAUUUGUGGGAGUAAGAUUGAAAAGAGAAGUACAAACAUGAUAAAUAAAUCACUAUUCUUAAAAAGUUGGAUUCCCGAAAUAUAACAAAUAAUUGGGAUGAAAGGAGUAAUUAAUGAUUUGUUUGCAUCAUCAAUACAUUUUUCAAUAAUUUUUUAUCUCACAUAUAUCACAUCAAAAAAGUGCUAUAGUAUUUUUUCAAAAAAGUUAUCCCAAGUAAUCUCCUAUCUGAACACACUCUAAUAAGUUUCCAAAAAUAGUCACAAAAGUCGAACUAUGAUAAAUCGGAUAAUUAGAUAAAGUGAUAAUCCACUACCUCACAUUCUCAAUAGAGUAAGUUGUACUAGGUAUCACUAUUUGUCCACUUUAAUAGUCGUUCCUCGAGUUUGAGCCUUUGAAACCGGGGCGGCAUUAGGAUGGAGUUUCAUCUCAUACUUAAUUCUUUUUCUUUUUCCAUUAGAUGUUUCAUUGGUUCGUUUGGUAUCAUUUUUCAGCAAUGAAUUCUCAAUACACAAUCUUUUAUAUUUUAAAAUUCCAGUACUGAGAUGAAAAUUCUUGUAAUUCUAAUUGUCAGUAAAAUAUAUAUAUAUAUAAUAUGUAUAUGAAAUUACUUAUUGUAUAUUUUUUUUAAUAAUACCAUAAGGUUUUAGUAGAUACAACCACUUAAUUCGCAAACCCCUUCAAUAAAAAAAAUUUCUUAUAAAAUAAUUACUAUAUGAAGGAAAAGAGUAAAUUCAUGCCUUCCAUGUUAGUCUCCAUUCAAAUUUGAUGUGUGUCCAUGCUUCACAAGUCUAGAUUAAAACUAACUGGAGAAGUUUGAAUUUCGACAUUACGUAUGUUGAAUGCGGCUGAAUUGAAGAUUUGUGAAGUCAUUGAAAUGUACAGCUGGAAAAAAAAAAUUCCACUUUGUUAGAUUCCUCGAUCUUAUAGGACAGGUAAAAGUGGUCAAAGAAGAGCCAAACCACUUCUUCAUACUACGACAACCACAAUUUUAGAUAAUCCUUUGAGUGGAAAUGGUUUUGCCAGAAAUGCACUAUUACUUAACGAGCCAAAACAUUUAAUUAGAGAUUCUGUGAACCUAGCCUAAAACAAUGAAAACCAAGUGAACAUCAGUCCAAUUUGAUUUUGGACUUCAAAUUUUCUUGAAAUCAAGCAGCUCAUGCGAACAAAAAGAUUAUAUCCACAUCCCAUAAAUUUAUAAAAGUGAAUCCACCAUAUGAGUGAUUAUCAAUAGUUCAAAUCUUUAAUACACAACAAAAAGCUUAACAAAAUCAGCUUUAAGCUCCACUAUGAUAGUUUUGAGACUAUAUUUAAGAAAACACAAAUAAUAUAAGAUAAAGUGUGACUUCAUAACGUGUACAUGAUGCAGACCUUUGUUGGCCAACCACAGACGCUAAAAGAUUAGUACUAUUUUGUUGUGAAAGUCCAUGGAGGCUCUUGUCAAUUCACAGAUAAGUAGAGUCACUUGUGGAAAUAAAAUUAAACAAUUUGCACGUGCCACAAUUAAAAUAUUCAUGCAAGACAUUCUUUUUUUUUUUUUUUUUUUUGUAAUGAUAACAUUUGUAUAACCCAAUCUAUCUUAUUCUACAGGAAAAGGGAGUCUAAAUAGACUGUGUAAGGGGCUAGCAGGUAUACAGACCUGAUUAGACCAAAUUGGUGCUUUGGCACAUCCUUUGAAUUUUUUUCAUUGCAAGUAGAAUUUGAGUCUCCAACCUACAGCCCAAAGAGGGAUUCAUGCAAGAUAUUCAUAAGGGCAUCUUUGUGUUUCUACAAAAACUUGUAAUGUCAUUUGCUUUUUCAAGUUCUUCCCACGGAUAAAAUAUUCUAUUGCAAAGAAAAUUGAAGUAAAAUAAAUUGUUAUUUAUUAAAAUUAGAGUGUAUAUAUAUAUAUAUAUCUAUUGUGAUUGGUUGAGAACUCAUUUUCAAGGAAUGUAAGCUAGUUUGGAAAUCCUUCAUGGUGACCACAAAACGUAUGCUAGUCCUCUUCUUUAUUAGAUCCGUCUAACGGGUGCCGUUAAAAUAUAUUUCAGGAAUUAUAUUUUUUAAAUUAUAAGAUCAAUUAAAGAAAGUAAAUAAAUAUAAAAAGAAAAGAGGUACGUAAAAUUAAAUAAGAAAAGUAUAUAAAUAUAAGGAAUAGUAAUAAUUAUUAAUAUAUGUAUAUACUUGAUAGGUUAAAUAAAUAUUAAAUCUGUUAAUAAGGGCCUAGACGCUCAUUAGAAAAACCCUUAUUUAUUUUGUCCCGUAAAUUACACACUUCAGUUUCCAAAAGUUGUGACUAUAAUUGAGUUGUAAUCCAGAUUACCAGAUGAAAGUGACAAUCAUUACCUUCUACUGUGUAUUCCCAAUUUGUCCCUUUCAGUAGUCAUUCCUCAAGUUUGAGUCUUUAAAACCGGAGCGGCAUUAGGUUGAAAUAUUUUACUUCACCUUUAUCCUUCCUUAUUUCUUUUCUUUUUUUUUGCAUUGUUGUUUCAUUGGUUGCUUUUUUAUAAAUUUUAGAUGGCCAACUUUUUAAGUUUAAAAUUUUCAGAAUUGAGAAGAAAAUUUUCGUUAUCCUAAUUGUCAGCAGUAUUUCUAACUGGCAUUUUUUUUAAUCAGAAUAGAAUAAUAUUCUACCUAUAGAACCAUAAGGCAAGAACACCCCCCCCCCCCCCCAAAAAAAAAAAAGAAACAAGAAAAAAGCCCCUCCAAAAGAAAGGAAGGAAAAGUCUUAUGAAAUUUAAAUAAAAAAAAAUCAAACAGACAGGGUUAAAUUCAUGCCUUCUACGUUAGAUUCCACACUAAAUUUGAAACUAGUCCAUGCUUCAAAAGUCUUAGGCUAGAACUAAAGGAGUGUGAAAUUCGAAAUUCCAUAUGCUGAAUGCGGCUGAAGAUUCCUGGAAGUCAUUGAAAUGUUGAGCUGCAAGAAACAAAUUUCCUCUUGGCUUAGAUUUCUUGAUCUGAUAAGGCAGAGAAAAGUGGUCAAAAAAAGUAGAGCCAAAACAAUUCCUUUGAGUGGAUAUGCUUUUGCCAGAAAUGCCUUAAUUAACAAGUCAAAAACAUUUAAUCAGUGAUUCUAUGAACCUAGCCUAAAACAAUGAAAACCAAGUGAACAUUAGUCCAAUUUGAUUAGUCUUCAAACUUUCUUGAAAUCAAACAGGUCAUAGGGAACAAAAGUGUAAUCUCCAUAUCCCUUAAAUUUUGAUAUAAGUGAAUCCACCAAACAUAUGAGUGACUAUCAAUAGUUCAGAUCUUUAAUAUAUAUGAUAGUUUUGAGAUUAUAUGUACGAAACCACAAAUUAUAUAAAAUAAAGUGUAAACUCAUCCACACCAAAUGAUUUAAGGCAGCAUAGAUACUGAUUCUGUACCAAAAUGAUGUACAAACUAUAUUGUUGUAGCUUUAAAAAUGCUUGUAAUUAUUUUAGUCUUCUAAUCAACAGUCUCUCAAAUUAGAAAUUUUUUUUUUCCGGAGAUAUCUUAAGAAUAUUUGUUACACAAGAAAAAGGUUUUGUGAUUCAAAUCCCAAAAACUAAUCAAUCUUGCAACGAUGAAGAAGGUUUUCCUUCUACACCUUCUAUGUCGGGUAUUAGAAAAUUUAUGUCAAAAUCGAAGUUCCCGUCCUCCAAUUUUCGAACAAUUACAGUGGGUUUACCAGAUGAUUGAACCCCAAUUCCUGUCUUUUUCUCCCUUGAAACCUUGAAAAUUUUCAAAGAUAUCCUUCAUACGUUAACUUUUGCCCCUUCAAAUUUUUUGAAACUUCUAUUUUAAGACCACAAGUUGAAUGUGUACAAAAGUUACCCCCUCAAAGUAAUUAUCUGGUUUUAUCACUUUAUAAUAUAAUGUUAUUUUAAAUUGUUAGUUAUAAUGGUCACAUGAUAUUGAAGUGUGGAAUACAGACCCUUAACCUACUUGAACCUGGCUUGGUUUUCUUUGAUACACAAACUGAAAACAAACUAUAAUUACUCAAGGUAUUAAACAAAAAUGAUGUAAAACUUUUUUGAAAAAAAAAAAAAGAAAAAGUUCCUUCCACUUUGGUCUAUUUAGGCUUUUGAUUGCUGAAGUCUACCUAAAAAUAUAGAGGUACAAACAUUCAUCAGGCUCAAAGAAAUCUAUCUGAGGACUUAAUUAAUCAGAUUUGGACCUUGGCUCCUUUUCAGCCUCAAUGGGCUCCUUCUCUUCUUCUGUUUUCUACACGGAAAAGUAAUUAAUGAAAUAUUAUAAAAGAAAAAACACAAUAAUUAGAAAAAAAUUCACAUAUAAUUUAAAAAAUGACAUAGAAAUUGUUUCCUGACUUUUAUCUUGUCUUUGCUUUCUAUUAUGCGUAUUUUUCUUUUUUAAAUUUACAUAUCUGUAUCUGCUGCUGCAGAGAUCAAACCUGCCUAAUAGAUUGCUUAUCUAUUUUCAUGAUAUACUAACUAAAGAUCAGAAUCCAAGUGUACUUUAAAAGUUCCUAGAAAAUGCUUUCAGCCAGUAGAUAUUUUUCUCUGGAAUGCUUUCAGCCAGUAGAAAAACGAAAAGCACUUUAGACCAAGAAAUUUUGCCAAAGGGGAGAAUAUUGUGCAUACAAUAUCCAAAUACCUAAGAAAGGAUGGGUUCUCCAUCUUCUUUCCCUUCUCCAAUUUCAACCCAUCCUUUCUUAGCUACACAAUCUUUCUUAGGCUAGUGAAGCCCAAACACCAACCCCCUCCCCCCCCCCCCCCUUUCAACAUGAGAUUUUCUUAACCAUGUCACCAAGCUAUAAGUUUUUUUUGUCAUAACGAUAAUAUUUCUAUAACUUACUCUAUCCUAUUAAGAUGACUGAUAUAUGUUAUAUAUAUAAAUCAAUCCAACCUCAAAUCACACCUACUACUAACAGUACCUCAUAUUAACAACUAAAUGAACUUUAAAUAAAGUGUUGGGUACGGCAUAAUAAAGUAAGGCCUCGAGGCAUAUAUAAGUCAAAUCAAGUGCAACAUGAGCAAAUAGAGUUCAAUUGAAUUUAAACCCGAGCCCAUGUGGCCUAUAGUCUAAUUGUUGUUUUAGCUUUUUCUACCUUGAGUUUGAGCUCAAUAGAAGCUAAGCAGUAUAAAUCAAUGCUUUGUAUUUUUGAAUCAAAGAAUAUAAUGGACCUUUCGUACUAAUAAAUAUAAAAAAAAUUAAAAUUAUAUAUAAACACGUGAUUUAGUGUGUGUGUCUCUGAUCUUAAUUAACUUCAACCAGAUUUGAACCCUCACGUAUAAUACUUGAACUCGAAUUUGUCUAACUAUUUGAGCUUGAGUUUUGACUUAGGAAAACUGCAAAUAGCACAAUUGACCUAUAUUCAAUUCAUUCGCAGUUGAGGACAUGCAUGAUCUAUAAUACAUAUGCACGCUUCAUGUUUUCAUGACAAGAAAUAGAGGGAAGCCACGUGCCAUAAAAAACACACCAUAGCAAAAAGUUUGAUCUUGUUAAUGAAGUUUUCAAAAGAGGGAAAAUUGCUUAGUCAUGUUGCUGAAACAGGAAAACGAUUUUGAUCUUGUUAUUUUUAGGGUAAAUUACAUUUUACCCCCCGUGGUUUACCCUUUUUUACAUAACCCCCUAUGAUUUCAAAAGCUAUACAUAACCCCCUCAUGGUUUGGAUUAAAUUGUCAAAGUAACGGAAAUAGUCACUCGUAAUGGAACUUCUAAAAAUGUCCCUAGAGAGGUAAAGUGGAAUUUGCCCUUAUUUUUAAUAACCAAGAGUAAGUAAAAUUUUUUUCUUCAUAGAAAAAUAACAGAUUUCGCAAAGCAACUCAAUCAACCAUUGAAGAAUACGGUAGCAUUGUUACAAUCCCAAAUGAAGCUUUUAGAGAUUGACAACCAAAUAUAUAUAGUUAGUACGUACCAUAAUCUAAAAGUUCCCUUAUUUUUGUAAACAAGUCACAGCUUAGUUUAGUUUAGUACACAUAUAUCAAAUGCCUCAAAAGUUUAAACUCAAAUUCAGUCAACACCAAAUCAAGUCUAAUUUUUUACCCCAAUUUUAACUUCAUUUGCUUGCCCUCUAAUCCCCUAUGUACACUAAAAACAUAAAAGUAAAAUUUAGGAGACUAAAACAAGAUUAUCCCUUGAAUUACAUAUCCAUCACAGGAUACUGGGAAAACAUAAUCUUCUUUCUACAAUAAUUUUUUAUAUAUAGUUUUCAGAUGCAAAAUAUAAAUAAAAUAAAAUAAAAUAGGAUAAAAGGACUUAAUUAGAAUCAAUUAGAGCAAUUACUCUGAGUAGAAUUGAAUAUAUUUCAACCAUUGUCGAGGUGAGGAAAAGAAAUACACGGCGUUUAAAGUAAUCCAAGCUGCACUCUGUAACAGCAACCAAACAAUUAAUCUGUUAGAAAAAAUCUUUAAAAUUUUCCUCGAGUUUGCUGUAAUCCAAAGAACCAUAACUCGAACCAUAGCCGUCGAAGCCUUUAUUUGGAACCCUGAUAAUGUGGUUUCUCUUUAUCCAGCCGCCAUUCUUGACAUUAGUACCUCUUGCUCGGGGGAAAACGUGGAUCUCCAUUCCUGUAAUUGCCUAUGCCUGAAAGAAAGUCGUAGGCCAUAAAGAGCUGCCCGAGUUUACGUGGCUUUUGAGGAAAGUGUGAUGGAUGAUCAUUGCAUGGGCAUGGGGAUGGGUGGUACUACUUUUACAUGGUAUUGUUGCUUUGAUAUUUGGCUGAAAGCUUGUUGAAUUUUUGGUUUGCUUGUGUUACAAACAAUUCCUAGCAAUUUGUUGCAGUGAUUCAUUCUAUCUAAGUAGUUUUCUCCUUUCUUUUCACUCUAUUUGUUUUGGAAUCAUAAGGGGUUUUUUUUUUUUUUUGGGGCUUGGGUGUAUGGAUAAAGAAUAGCUGGAGACUAUGAGGGCUUUUGGGUCGUUUUUGUAUACAAGUUUUCUCCAAGCCGUGUUAUGGCAUUUUAUCAUUUAUGGCAAUUUCAUGGAAAGAUGCACAAGUGACUAAAAAGUAGGGUUGAGAAGCAUGUAAAAAAAAAAUUCAAGAUAUCUUUUUUUUUUUGUGAAUCUAUAUUAUAAUAUUAAUUCACUUCCGAAGUUGGUUUAGAUAGGGUUGUAAAUCGAACCAAACAACUUAGUAUUCAACUUGAAUUCGGCUCAAAUUAGGCUUGUUCAAUCUUGUUUGUUAAGGUACUAAUCCAAGUCCGAAAAUGAUUUCAAACUCGAAAAUAUUAACAAAUCAAUCAUGAUCUUCAUGUUAUGCGGCUCGAUAUGUUCAGCAACAUAUAAGGCAAGUAAAUUUUAAAAAAUAUAACUAAAGUUUUCUUGAACUCCACUUCUUUCCUUUCUAUAUAUUACUUAUCUUAUAAAAUAGGAAGCAUAUGAUACUCUUGUUUCUUGAGUAGGCAUAAUUGAUUUUAAUUACAUCCAUAAUUCAUCAUAAUAGAUUUCUUGAAAGGUAUAAUUGCCUUUAAUCACAUCCAUAAUUAGGGAUGGCAACGGGGCGGGGGACCCCUCCCCCGUCCCCCGCCCCGUUGCCUAUUAGUUCCCCCCAUCCCCCGCCCCGUCCCCCGCCUCCCGCUCCCCCCGCCCCGCCCUGCCCCCGCCCCGCCUUGCCCCGCUUCCCCCGCGGGGGCACCCGCGGGGUUAAUAAAAUUUUAUUAUAUAAUUUUAUUAUAAUUAAAUUUUAAUAAAUAAUCAAGUACUAAAAUAUCAACACAUCGCCAAAUUAUUAUUCAUUGUAAUUUUACAAUUGAAACUCAUAAAAACAAUCAAACAGAAGUUAUUUGAAUACAAUCCAAUAUGAUGAAAUAAAUAUAACUAAAAUAGUCAAAUUUUCACUUUUAGUACAAAUGCAAUCACUAAUUCAUCAUUGUGUUUGUGCUUUUUUUUGAGAAAAAAGUGUUAUUCUAUUAAGUGUAACUAGAAAUUUAGUAUAAAUGUAUUAGUAAAUUUAGUAUAACUAAUUAAUAAAUUCUAUUAGUAGACAUGUAUAAUUAUUCAUAUAAUUGAUAAUAUCAAUUAUAUUACAUAAACUAAUAUACAUUAUAUAAUACAUCUAACUAAUAAUAUCAUUAUCAUAAGUUUAUAACUAAUUAACUUACAUAUAAUAUAUAGUCAUUUAUAUAUAUAUAUAUAUAUAUAUAUAUUUUUUUUUUUUUUUGCGGGUGGCGGGGCGGGGGAUGGGGCGGGGGAGUAUACCCCCGCCCCCCGCCCCGUUUCUAAGCGGGGGGAAAAAUUUUCCCCCCGCCCCGUGAGCCCCCCGCGGGGCGGGCACCCGCCCCCAUUGCCAUCCCUAUCCAUAAUUCAUCAUAAUAGAUUUCUUGAAUAUCAGAGAGCAAAAAUUAAGGAAAAAAAGUAACAAAUUAGGGUAAAAAUCUCUAUAUAAUACAACAUGAAAUUUCAAACCAAACUUUGAUUGUAUGUGCUUAAACUCAUAUUUUAACAAGCCAAACCAAGGUUUUUGUAAACAUAAAUCUUAAAUUUCAAGCCAAACUUGAUCGAUUUCUUUUAAAAAAAUUAUCAAACACAAGCCAAGUUCAAACAUUCCAUUUAAUUUUCAAACCAAUCUUGAACAUAUCUCUAUUUGGCUCGUUGAGCCUUGUUUUCAGCCCUAGCUUUGGGACAAAAAAAAGUCAUUUUGUUGCAAAUUAUAUGUAUAUAUUUGUGUUAUGGAUCUUUUAUAGGAGAUGAAAUUGAACUAAAAUUAGAAUUUGUAUAAUGAUAUUUUAAAUAUAUUAAGGAGCCUGGAAUGGUUAGAGAGCUAUUGAUAUGAUUGAAAAAGAUUCGGAAUUAGUACUUUGUCCAAAAAAUAAAAUAAAAUAACCAGAGUUUGUACGCUAUACAGUAAGUAACAAAGAAUUAAAAUCUGAUAUUUAUUCCCAAAAAAUGGUAAUCUUAAUCAAAUUGCAGUUCUUAUCAAGCUGAAUAACCAAGGAUGCAAAACACAGGUGAUUUCCAUGUUAGAAAUGGGGCAGGGAUGACUGUCCUGAACGGUUCACAGACAUGAUUGGCCAAAAAAUAUAAGAUUCAGAUCGCUAUAUGUAUGUAUGUAUAUCAUUUUUAAUGUCAUAUAUGGAUCCAUAAAAAUUUGUUCUAUAUUUAAUUGAAAGUAAGUCACAUCUCGAAGAAAUAGAUGUACAUCUUGUGAAAUUGGACAAAAUUGACAUAAGCAGUUGACCUGACAAUCGUUUGUGCCCCAAAUCCAUGCAUGUCAUGCUAAGCACACUAAUGCCACGUCAAAUAUUAUCAUAUUUGUCUUCAUUCAUUUGAGUUUUUUUUUUUUAUAAAAGUAAAUUUCAUUAACAGAUUGUUAGAAAUCAUCGAGCACGAUUUGAUUUACAUCACUAUUUUAAUGAUAGAUUAAACAUGCGUUAAAAAUUAUAGAUUUGCAAUUUAACCGACACAAUAUAUCUGAAAAUUUAUCAACAGAAUACAAGAAAUUUCACAAUUUUUUUCUAAUAAAAAAAUUACUACAGCUUUCUUUUGUGUAUGUUGCAAUCGCCAGAAAAUGACACCAACGAUCCUGGAACUUUUCUGCAUUUUUUUCUGGUUGUCCCUUAACUUAGGUCCAUCAACGUGUAAUUCGGUUCUAAACGGUCUUUUCAUGUCCAACCCAACUAUGAUGAUAUUCACUUUUUACCCUGAGGGCUUGAUAAACUGGUGACUAUUUUGACAAAGAAUAAAAGUAUGAUAUACCCUUCAACAAAUUUACAUAAACUAAAAAUGUAAAAACUACCAUUUGACAAAUAAAAAGUUUAAUCCUAGGAAUUAGAGGUCCUAGGUUCCAGUCCCUCUAUCCCCUUUUUACUUCUUAAAUCCCACUCCUUUUUUUCUAGAAAAAAUUUAAUAAAAAAAUAAGAGUUUAAUCUUAUUUUAUAAUUAUGAAAUAUUUCUAAAUUUUUGAAUGGUUAUUACUAUCACCAUGAUUAUCAAUCUAGUGAUUAUUAAUCCAUGUAAUGUCUACUAAAAAGAAAAAUAUUUAUAGACAGCCUACAUGAAUAGCAAAAAUUUUAAGGACAAUAAAUAAAAGAGAAUAUGUUUGCUUUUUUCAGUCUAGUAAUUUUUUUUAUGGUCAAUGUAAUUAGAUAAGUUUAACAAUCCCAUAGAGACUUUUAAGACUUGAGAUGCCAACUAAGAAGAUUGGUAGAAGUUGAGGGACUAUUGGAGUCAUUUGCUCCAUCUCUAAAUACUUAAAAAUUCGUUGGUCUAAUUUGUACAAUUUGAAAACAAUUCUUGUUUAAAUUUUGUACCCGCUAAUUAACUUGUUACACAAGCAAAACAUACACAACACCUCGUCCCCUAUCUUCUAAUAUCCCUUCAAUUUUUUUUUUCCCAGAAAUUUCCAAAUUCCAUCCCCAUUAAAACCGAUGAAAACCUGCAAAGUACUGGGAGAACUACUGGGUAGGAGCAUAAUCAAGGGCAGAUUAAUCAACCAUUAAUCCGCAAAUCACCAACACAAUUAUGUCGGCCAAGGUCGAUAUUAUGCAACUCUAAUCACAUUCUGUGCUGCCAUCUAAACUUCCCUUGUGGUAUUAACUCAAAAGAGACCUUCUUAAAUCGUGGUUUAAAUUUAAUCAAAUUAUCAUGAUGAUCAUGGCUACUGCAGCGGCUGGAGGGGCAUUCUGGAGAAGACUAAGAUGGCUCUUGAGCGCAGCUUCAUUGGCUUUUUUCUAAUUUCAGUGAACUUGUGCAGCUAUAUGUUAUUUAUCCUAGGCACAUGUAACUUGUCAAUUCUUGAUAUUUGGAUUAUAUCAGGGCACCAUAUGAAAAUGAACAGAUUGAAUAAAUAUAUUAAAUCGAUCGUAAGUUUAUAUGUUAAAUGAAUCUGCGUACGGCACUCUAAUAGGAGCGUAGAGUUUAAUGGAGAUGUGGAGUUUAAUUCUUGAUCUUAGGUUUGUACAUGUAACUCGUCAAUUUUAGAUCUUUGGAUUAUAUUACGCAAUUCUACAGUAUCAUUAGAGUACCGUAUGAAAAUAAACGGAUUAAAUAAAUAUAGUGAACGGAUUGAAUAAAUAUGUUAAACCGAUUGUAAGUUUAUAUAUUAAACGAAUCCUUGUACGACACUCUAAUGGGAUCAUAGAAUUUAACAAGCGUGUAGAGUUACAUUCUCUCUUUUUUUUUUUAUUCUAGUUAAAAUCUUUUACUCUGACGCAAUAGGGGGAUGGACUUAGACAAUGCAAUGAAGCAAAGACUUUUAUUUUUUUCCUUUAUUUCAUAGUUUUUGUUAACCAUAGAAGUGUAGAAAUUAGUGGCAGAGGUAACAAUGUUGGAUGAAGUGAGAGACAAAUAGAAACUAAGAAAAAAAAAACCCAAAAAUUGUUAAUUACCGAGGAAUGGCUUCGAAACAGGGGGAAAAAAUUAGAAAAUACAAACAAUUAUUUUUUUUAAAAAUUUUAAUGUUAGGUACAGAUACAGUUGCAUCUUGCAACUAGUAACUUUGCUAAUCUCAAUCUUGUUGCAGUCUCGCAGUUGGUUUCGCUGCCUCCGGUGUUGGCCUUCUGAAGUUGCUGGUUUGGGACCCCUUUGUUUAUGGACCUGCUAUUUUUUGGCAUGGAAAAACACAUAUAAUACAGGUAUGCCAAUGCCAUCUUUUAUCAUUAGAAGAGAAAAUACUAAGUCAGGGCAACUAUGAUUGCAGUUUUAAUUGUAGGGUGAAGUUAAUGAUUAAAAAUAAAUGAGUUUAACUUGAAAUCGAGUAGAUAAGAUUGAUUGUUCUGAAAAUUUUGUCCUAAUUCCAAGUUCUGUUCUGAAGAUUUUCUUCUAUCAUAUGAUCAAAAUUUUGCUGAAUUUCUAGCGUGAAUCAGUGACUAAUGAUAAGUUGGCAAGUACUGAAAUCAGACCAACAUGGCUAGUUCUGGCAUGAUGCAGCAUUCAGGAACAGGAGAUUUUUCUCGUUUUAAUUGAACUAACUGCCAGUGUAUGUCUUUUGAAGUUGUAUCAAAAUGCUUUUCAUUUUCUUGCAUUUGUCAUAAUUUUGUUACUAUGAGCAGCCUACACUUCUAGAAGAUUGGAAAACCAACACUUCGGAAUUUUUUUUUCCUCAGCACUUUAGAACUUUAAAAACACUUUUGAACUUUAAAACUGCUUGUGCAUAUGUUGUAGAAUGAAAUGUAGGAUCAUAGAUUACAUCUGCUGCUUUUCUUGUUUUUGGCUUUUUCUAUUAUAGGAAAGGCUAAAGCAUCUAAAAGCAGAAGAAGAGGAAGAUGAGAGAAAACGAAGGUAGAUGAUGAAGAAAAAGGAACAGUAGGAUGCAGCUCCAGAACUGGCACAUUAAAUUGCCCAAAAAUAUUUCCAUCCAUAUUGUUUUAUGUUUCUUGAUGAAUCCAAAAAAAAAAAAAAAUGAACUUGGUCCCAAAUACAACAAAAAAGUUAGAUUUAGCUACUUAGGUGGUGCUUACACGACCCAUUGAUGAAGGGAAAGUUAGGUGAGCUUACUUUUCCUACUACCCAGAAAAAUGAACAUACCAAGAAAUAUGAUUUCAUUAUCUCGUCUUUCUUGCUGUUUCAGUGUCUUAUUUCUGUACACAAGUGGUAUGUAAUGUGUGCCAGUCAUGUUUUUACAUAGAUUACCUUAGCAAUAGUAUUAUGUAUAAAUAAUACCAAAAAAAAUCAAAAUUCACGUACAUUUGCCGGGUAGAAUGCUAGAAAAAAGCCUAUUCAGAUCACCAAACACUUCUCCGAGCCAAAAUUAUCUGCUGCAUAUGCAAUGACCAUUCCAAAUCCGACAAAAAUCAAUCAGAGGAGACUGUAAUGGUACCACUGAUUAUAAUCAGAGUAGCUAAGGGGGUAGAUGAAAAAGAAAGAGAACAGAGGAAAUAGGGAAGGAAAGAUACGUGAGAGGGAAGGGAUAAUGAAGGAAAGAAGGAACUGAAUUUGUUGUAUCUCAUUGCAUAACCUUUCCGUCCCCUUUUAGGCUUAUUUAUACAAGAUUCUUCCUCUAGAUCCUUCUGUGUUCUAACCGCCCCCUUAACAGAAUGAGCGUACAUGCAUGCAUGCCUUUUUGAUGAGUAACAGAGUAACUAACUUUUGAAUUACUAACUAACUUCCUAAAAUAGAAAACGCAGCAGAUACAUUUCUGCUAAAGGUAUUUAAAAUAUCUAGGGUCAUUACAACACCUUCCCCUUAAGAAUCCUAGUCACUAAGAUUGAGCUGGAAAUUUGGGAACUGUGAUUGUAUUACUGUGACAUCCUCCCAAGUUGAGUCUUCCGUGCCUAAGUUCACCCACUUGAUCAACACUUGAGUCAUCUUCUGUUUUCUCCUUAUGAUUUCACGAGUAUCAAGUACACUUUCCGGGGCAAUUUUAAUCUGCCCCUCAGCAGUAGUCAAGGGUAACUCCUGAGUCACAACACGAUUUGUUGCAGAUGGUUUGAGCAAGGAAACAUGGAAGGUAGGAUGUAUCAAAGAACCAGCAGGUAACUCUAGCUUAUAGGCUGCAUUUCCAACCUUUUGAAGGAUCUUAUACGGCCCAUAGUACUUGGAAGAUAACUUCAGAUUCUUCCUGAUUGCUACUGAAGUUUGCCUGUAAGGCUGCAAUUUCAAGUAUACCCAGUCACCUACCUGGAAACUCCUUUCAAUUCUGUCCUUGUCAGCAAACUGCUUCAUUCGAUUUUGAGCCUUGAUUAGAUUUCCCCUCAGCAAUUCAUUCCACUUCCUCCUAUCCCCCAACCACUGUUCCACAGCGGCUACUGGGGUCUCUAAGGUAUCUAGGCCUAAUUGAGAGGGUGGAUAACCAUACAGAGCCUGAAAAGGAGUCAUUUUCAAGGCUGUGUGAUGGUUGGUAUUGUACCACCAUUCGGCAGCUGCUAGUAAGAACUUCCAUUUGUGAGGUUGUUGGAAACAAAGACACCUCAAGUAUGUCUCAACGCACCUGUUCAGCCUUUCUGUCUGCCCAUCUGUCUGAGGGUGGUAUGCAGUGGAGUAGUGCAGCUCAGUACCCAGCUUCCCAAACAAUUCCUGCCAAAACAUGCUAGUAAACAGCCUAUCCCUGUCUGAUACAAUGCUCAGGGGUAAUCCGUGCAACUUGUAGAUGUUAUCAAAGUACAUGCUAGCUACUGAUUGUGCUGUAUACUUGGAGGGUAGUGCUAAGAGGUGGCAGUAUUUGGUAAACCUAUCAAUGACCACUAGUAUUCCUUCAUAUCCUUGAGAUUUAGGUAAUCCUUCAAUGAAGUCCAUUGCAAUGUGCUGCCAUGCUUGCUCAGGGACAGGAAGUGGUUGCAGUAGGCCUGGUGUUUUGCAAUUUUCUACCUUGCUCCUCUUACAGACAUCACAUUGCUGCACCCAACCUUCUACCUCUCUCUUCAUUCCUGGCCAGAAGAAUGGUCCCUUCAACCUCUGAUAGGUUCCCAGAUUGCCUGAGUGUCCUCCAAGGUGCGAGUCAUGAAAGCAAGUUAUCAGCUUCUGUCGCAAGCUCCCUGACGCUCCAAUGUAAAUCCUGCCUUUAUACCUGAGUAAUCCCCUAUCAAAAGAGUAAUUUGGAAGAGAGUUAGGUGUAAUUGUCAAGGCUUCGAUUAGCUUAAUCACUGCACUAUCCUCUCGGUAGCUUUCCAGAACCUCAGCUAGCCACGCAGGUUUCAUGACUGAGAGACUGUGUGUAGAGCUAUCUUCUUCAUAGCCUCUCCUGGACAGUGCAUCAGCCACAAGAUUUUCCUUACCUCUCUUGUACUGUAUUUCAUAGUCCAGUCCUAGCAACUUAGUAAGCCACUUUUGCUGCAGGGGAGUGGUUAUCUUCUGCUCUAGUAGGUACUUUAAGCUCUGGUGAUCUGUCUUUAUGAUGAAAUGGUUGCCCAGCAGGUAAUGUCUCCACUUGGAAACAGCUGUAAUAAGGGACAGCAACUCCUUCUCGUAUAUGGAUAGUCCCAGGUUCUUAAGUCCCAGAGCUUGACUGAGAUAGGCAAUAGGCCUUCCCUGCUGCAUUAGGACUGCACCAAUAGCCUUAUGACUAGCAUCGGUUUCUAGGAUAAAAGGUAAAGAGAAAUUAGGAAGAGUUAGGACUGGUGUACUGCUCAUUAGCUGCUUCAGUUUUUGAAAAGCUAGCUCAGCCUGCUCAUUCCAAUGGAAGUUUUCCUUCUUCAAGAGUUCAGUAAGUGGCUUGGCAACAAGUCCAUAUCCCCUCACAAACCUCCUGUAGUACCCCGUCAGUCCCAAAAAACCUCUUAAUGCUUUCACUGACGUAGGGGCAGGCCAAUCCAUCAUGCUCUUGACUUUUGAAGAAUCUGCCUGCACUCCAUCUCCACUGAUAACAUGUCCCAAAUACUCUACUUGUGACUGUCCAAAGACGCAUUUGGAAAGCUUGGCAAAAAGAGAAUGAGCUUGGAGUGUUUCUAGGACAGUUUUGAGGUGCAAAAGAUGAGUGUCUGGGUCUGGACUGUAUACAAGGAUGUCAUCAAAGAAUACUAACACAAACUUCCUCAGGUAAGGUUCAAAGACAUGGUUCAUCAGGCUUUGAAAGGUUGCGGGUGCAUUAGUAAGACCAAAGGGCAUAACAGUGAACUCAUACAAUCCAAGGUGAGUUUUGAAAGCUGUUUUUGGAAUGUCAGCAAUGAUCAUCCUGACCUGAUGGUAUCCAGCUCUUAGAUCUAUUUUAGAAAAGAGCUUGGCUCCAUACAGUUCAUCAAGUAAAUCAUCAAUGAUAGGUAUUGGGAAUUUAUCCUUGAUAGUCAGGUCAUUUAGUUGUCUGUAGUCAACACAAAAUCUCCAAGUUCCAUCUUUUUUUUUUACUAAUAGAACUGGAGAGGCGAACGGACUAUGGCUAAGCUGGAUAAUUCCACUACUAAGCAUGUCCUUCACCUGCCUUUCUAUUUCAUUUUUUUGGUUGUGAGGGUACCUAUAUGGUGCUAUCUUGAAAGGUUUGACAUUAGGUACUAGGGGAAUUUGAUGGUCACAGUUUCUGGAAGGGGGAAGGGACCGUGGUUCACCAAAUACAUCUUUGUAGUCUUUAAGCAGAGCACCUAAGGACUGUUGAAAAUCAGUGUCCAGCUGAGUGACAGUGUUUACCUGAGUCUCCUUCAUUUGCAGUCCGCAUGCAUGCUUCCAAAUUCUGGUACUCCAUCCCUCCUUCUCAGCCUUAUCACCAGGGAGUUUGAGAACAGUCUCCUUGGAUUCUCCAUGCAGAAGAAUCCUCUCCCCUUUCUCAUCAAAGGACAUGUUCAGCUGCUUGAAGUCGAAUGUGAUGGGGCUGUGUGCCGCCAUCCAGUCUACCCCUAUGAUCACAUCAUACGGCUCCAAGUUAAUGACAAACAUAUCAUGAGUGAACUGUUUACCUUGCAUUGUCCAGCUCAUGUUUGGGAUCAUCUUGUCGCAGGUCAAAUACUCCCCAUUUGCCACCCUGACUCUGAAAGGCUUGAUAGACUGGACCAGCUCUGGGUAGAGUCGUGCCACAGAGUUUUUGACAAAGCUAUGAGUGCUUCCUCCAUCAACCAGAAUUGAUAGUGGUGUCCGUUUGAAACUCCCUUGCAGCUUGAUGGUGUUGUAAGUCAUUUUCCCUGUUAACGCAUGUAUCUCCAUUUCUAUACCCUUGGUUGAUUGUGCUCCCUUGUACUCGAUCAUCUCCCCUUCCACCAGAUCAUCAGGACUGUCGUCUAUUGCCACCAGCAGAUGGAUUUCCUUCUGCUUACAUUGGUGUCCUGGACCAAACUUCUCCCCGCACCUAAAGCAAAGAUGGUGCUCCCUCCUGUACUGCAGCUCUGCGGGUGUGAUUUUUCUGAAGCUUUGAGGAUUCUGUUUCUUGACAGCAUUGGCAAUAACAGGCUUGGUAUGAGGCGCGGUAUAUUGAGCAGCAGUCUGUGUAGUAUUCCCUGCGAAACCAGAUUUUUGGGGAGGUUUGUGCUUCUUGUGGUAAGCUUCAAAGGCAUUCUCUUGCAAUCUGGCCAGCUCGAAUGCUUUGGAUAGAGUCUUAGGGUCGUGAGUCUUCACCAUUGACCGUAACUCAUCUGGUAGUCCACUCAAAAAACAUGAAAUGUAAUAAUUUUCUGGGAGGAGAGGUGCUCGACUCAUUACCUCAGAGAGUAGCUCCUCAAAUUUUUCCUGGUAGGCUAAGACUGUGGUGGAAAGCUGCAAUUUAUUGAAUUCCUCCACUGGAUCCAUUUGUCCCAAUGCUCCAAAACGCUUGCACAAUUCUCCCGAAAACUCCAUCCAAUCCACCUUGUUACCUCUAGUAGAUUUGAAUCCUUGAUACCACACCUCUGCUUUCCCUUCUAAAUGGAAUUCCGUUAGCUCCAUCCACUGCUCCAAAGGAAUGUGUAGAAGCUGGAAAUACCUCCGAAGUUUCCUGAUCCAUUCCCGGGGAUUGUCUCCCCUGAACGCUGGAAUUUCUAAUUUAGGUGUGCUAGCAUGGAAGGUGCUCCUGACAGUUUUCUCUCCUUGCUCUCGAGUCCCCAUGUCAGAGUUCCUGGAGUGACUUCCCUCUGGAGAGCUCAAUAAUCCCUUCUCAGAAUUCCCUCGGUUCACACUGGAAAGCUGCUGAGAAAUGGCCACCAUGAACGCAUCUAAUUUAUUGCUCAGCUCCCCGCUUACUGCAUCCAACCUAUCUUCCAUAAUUUGUUUGUCUGCUGCUAGGGAUUCCAGAAUUCCUUGGAGUCUGCUAUCUUGCCUGCGUAGUUGUUCUUCCAUAGUUUUCAUUCGAGUUCCAUCUGCCAUUGGAUUAUAGUGAUUUCAGCUUCCUAGUCCAAGGACCGGAAGCUCUGAUACCACUUGUAAUGGUACCACUGAUUAUAAUCAGAGUAGCUAAGGGGGUAGAUGAAAAAGAAAGAGAACAGAGGAAAUAGGGAAGGAAAGAUACGUGAGAGGGAAGGGAUAAUGAAGGAAAGAAGGAACUGAAUUUGUUGUAUCUCAUUGCAUAACCUUUCCGUCCCCUUUUAGGCUUAUUUAUACAAGAUUCUUCCUCUAGAUCCUUCUGUGUUCUAACCGCCCCCUUAACAGAAUGAGCGUACAUGCAUGCAUGCCUUUUUGAUGAGUAACAGAGUAACUAACUUUUGAAUUACUAACUAACUUCCUAAAAUAGAAAACGCAGCAGAUACAUUUCUGCUAAAGGUAUUUAAAAUAUCUAGGGUCAUUACAGAGACAAGUUUCAUUUUUCUUCCCCCUUUUUGGAAUUUUUCUUUUCUUUUGCAUGUCAAAGAUUUCAGUUUUGUAAGAACAGCCGAAGAACCAAUAAAAUAAGAAAACUGAUUCAACAUUCUAAAACAAAGUUAAACUAAUGGCAUCAUCUCUGGCCUUCCAGUCCCCAACAAGGCACCAAGAUCAGCCAGAGAUGGCACCAUUGUUGUUAAAGAUCCUAGUGAAUCCUAAAUAGAUGAGGUUGAAUCAUGAAAAGAAAUAGUUAGUCAUCCUCCUUCCUCGUGCUAAUCAUACCAUCAGCGUACCACUUGGAGAAGCCCUUCUCCAGGGCCUCACGCAUCCAGCCAUGCCGACAGCGCUGAAUAGCCUCAGGAAUAGUCAGCCAACUCCGUUGUCGAACACUCUGUUCUGGCCAUGAUUCAAGCUCCUCCGUUACAAGUAAGGGGAACAUGGUAGCUUUACACAAACCUUCCGGACUAAACUCAUCUUGCAGUGUUUUGCUCUUAAACUUGUACUCACCUAUGGAUUGCUGAAAUAAACAAUACAUGGACUUAUAUACAACUUGAGAAAAAUCUUUUCUCCAACAUCACUACAAAUCAAGAAGCACUUUGGACACACCCACAAAACAAAGUUCCCCAUACUUUAUUUUCAUUACAUUAUGCUACUCAAAUCCAACACCAGUCAAGUGUAAUUUAGCCUUUAGAAUGUUUUCUGAUAUUAACAGUGUGAAGAUGAUGAGAUUCAGUUUAUGAAUCCCAACAAAAAAAUCCAACAUAAAAGACUCCUUAUAUAUGCUUGAAAACAAAGCGCAAAAGAUUUCAUCACAGGUCACAUUUUUCCAGUUUGUGCAUGAGAGAGAGAGAGAGAGAGAGAGAAUGUGUGUGUGUUUAAAACCAGCUUCAAUAUGAAUCUCCAAGGAACAAGAUUGACACUGAACAACCAGGACUGGCAAUCACUUCAUCAAAGAAGUCUUAAUAGGGAACCAAAUAUAAUCACUUUAUCAAUAUUGAGGACCAGCAAAAACCAAUGAGAAGAUUUGAAGAACUAAACUCUUUUCUGAGUUAAAUCCCAUAAUAAAAAUUCACUACAACUUGAAUGCAUACCUAAAUUAGCCAACUUUAUCACAAAUUUAUUUUCUUCACAUCAAUUAGCUCAUAUGUAAAUUUCCUGGACAUUGAAAAAUAUUCUCCCCCACAUCUUUGAUUUGUGAUAUCUUGGAGGACGUGCAAAAACAAUAUUUGAGUAAUGACUAAAUACAGGAACUUUUAACAAUUAUUUUUUCCUCAAACAAAUCACAACUUUCCACAUGGAUAAACACAAUCUAUAUGCAAAAGUAAUGAUCAAAAGUUUAAACCAGUUUAUGAUAUCUAGGGCUGCAAAUAAAUCAAUCCGGCUCAGUCAAUGGCUCAACUGGAAGGAUAUUUUUAUCUGUUUUUAGAUAUGCUACAAUCAUCAUUUAUUUAUUUAUGAACUCUAUUAAGCUCAAACUCAAAUUCUACUUUAGCAGCCCAAUCAAGUUUGAGCCUGAUAUAUUUAAGUCAAGCUCAGCUUGAUCAAACUCCCUCAUUUGCUGCUGCGAGGUAGACAUUGAAGAGAUGGAGCAUGACUAAAAUUUCAUGAAUAUCUGAAGGCACAGCUAUAGCACGGGAAGUAAGCAUACUUCACGAUCUAAUGGCAACUAAAUCUAAUAGAUAAUCUUAAGAAUUGACAUAUUUCUAGAUCCUUUUCAAUAUGGGGGAGAAUGAAGAAUGAAGAUAACAUAGGCAAGAUUUCCCAAGAAGCAGCCAUAUAUAGAAUUUUAUAUAGUAUGAGUUGUGUUCAUAAAAUUGAGGUCAGAAAGAAUCUGCUUGUUAAACUAUCAAACUCAAUUUCAUCAACAACUUGAUAUUCAAUCACAGAAACAUGGAUUUACCAACUAAUCUUCAGAACAGAAUUUCAUGAGCCCAAAUAGGGGAUGUUGUCGAAUAAGAUUCUCCAAUAUCUUGUCUAGAAUCUCACUAUUCAAAUUGACAGUGUUUCCAUGAGCUACUAUACUUUUGCAAAUGUUCACCACCGCUUCCAACAUUUCUCACCUCAUUUUGGAUAGUGGAAAGAGAUAAGAAUGAAAACUAAUUUUAGAAGCAUUAUUAGAGAUGGGAACAAACACUGAUUUUAGAUGCAUUUUUAAUUCUUUGGUAUCAAGUUAUAUUUUCGGUAGUUAGUACCUCUUUAGUAACCUACACAACAUAUAAAGCUGCAGCUGUAGUAUGUGGUGCUGAUUUUGUCAUCUUUUAAACUUCCUUUUCCAGCCUUACAGUUUAGAAUAAAUUGGUCCUAACAUAUUCGCCCCUGUGCGGGGGGGAAGGGGGGUGGUGCCCUCAAGCCGAAUACCAACUUUAUCUAAAUAGACAUCCACUUCUCCAUGUCUACCAACUGUAUCUGAAACACUUACAAUUGCAUACUAUUCAAACCAUCAUCCUAUUCAUAACCUCCCUCUAUUUAACUUCUCCACAAUUUACUCACAUCCACUGUUUUUCUACAUCAUGAUCACCUCAUACAAAUAAUAUGAGGAUUACCACUUAAGUGUGUAAUUAUCACACCAGGCUAUUUUUAGGACUAACAGCAGUGCGAUUCAUGCAUAUUUCUCAUAUUAUUUCUACUUGAAAGAUGGAUAAAAGAAGCAAUCAGAAAACAUAAAAGAUACAGAAAUGUCUUACAUUCUUUGAAGGAGUUUGUAAUCAGCAGAUAUAGGUUUGGUUAUCCCUGGAUUUUCUAACCAGAAAAAGCACGAGAGUAAUGGUAAACAAAAAAGAAAGGCAUACACCAAGUGAAGCCACAAAAGUCUUGAUGGGUAGAUCAAAUUCAUACAGCCCAUAGAUACAACAUAAACAAGUUAGAAAUUCCUCAUAUUCUUUUUACUUAAAAGACGCAAAUAAAAGAGGGCAAUCAGAAAACAGAAAGGACACAAAAAUGUCUUUAAGUUCUUUCAAGGAGUUUGGAUUCAGCAGAUAUAAUUUUGGUUAGCCCCUGGAAUUUUCUUCCCAGAAAGAGCACAAGAGUAAUAAACAAUAAUGAAUCGAGAAGCACUAAAGGACUUUAAAGAAGUCAAUUCCAAGCUUAGAACAAUCAACUACAGUUUGUCAUCUGCAACAUUACUGUGAACAGUACAUUAUAUGCAACAAAGAAGGUUGUCCCAGAAAGGUAAACAAUAAUGUGAUGUAGGACACAAUCAUCGAUUUGCAAACAUGUCCCACCAAAGUUCAGAGAAAAUACAAUAUUCCCACCAUUCAAAUCAACUGUACAUGUAUAAAUUUUACAGAGUGUAAAGCCAUAGAAUACUAUGAGUCUCCAAGGCAAGGGAUAUAAUUAGAAAAAAUUCCUGGUCUAACAACACAAACGACAGCGAAACUCAAAACUAAAAGAACAAAAAAGGGAGGAGGGUAAGUCUAUGGAUACUUAACACUGCAUGUGCUUUUAUGUGAUUAAUGGUUUUAGCAUGAUUUUGCAGUCCCAUUAUCUACUUUUAAACUGUAUAGAAAGGUUAUGAGGCCCUUCUCCAAAACAAGGAACAAUUAGCUACCACAUUUGCAAAAAAAAAAAAAUGCCUCAUUCACAUAGCACAGAAAAAGAAGAACAUAUAUUACAAGAAUAUGCUCUAGAAUCUUACUAACAAAUCCCCACGAACUCCAGCUUCUUCUACAGCCUCACGCACUGCUGCCUCCUCAACUGUUUCAUCUUUUUCCCACCCACCCUAUAUCCAUGACAAACACAUUAUUACAAGUAUGGAUGUAGUUAAAAAUGUAUAGGAAUAAAAUUCUAUAACGUAUAAUAACUUAAAGAAGUAGACAUCAACACUGUCAAGCACACAACAUCUGCAUUCUUUUUCUUGUUAAUAGAAGCCAUAGCCUAUAGAGAGUUAAAAGAAAAUAAGUGUCAAAUUUAAAUCAUAGUCCUUGGCAUAUUGUUUAGUGAGCUGUAUGUGUCUGAUGAUCCAAGCAAAAGGCAAUCUCUUAGAUAUGAAAUCUGGCCGCUCUUUUUGUCAGCUUGUUAUGUGCUAAAAAACUCAAAAUAGCACUUUAAAAUGCAUUGACUUUGCAAGUUUCAGUUCUCUUUUUUUAUACUAUCCACUUCUAAGAUUCUCCUAUCACUUGUACAAAAUCGGUGCUGAGUGGCCACAGCUGUGGGGGGAAAUGGAGCUGGUGGGAAUGUGAGCUUUACUUUGUUGAGUGGGGGAUCAUCCCCGCCUAAGCAUCACUAAAGUUUUAAACAACAUUUUUGACACUGAAUACUUUUCAUUAAUUCACUGAAUUUUCUAAUAGCUCUUCCCACUAUGAUGAAUUUUUCUAUGGAUUUCUAAAUUCUAACUAUAUUUGGUACUAAUAAAGUUGACUCAAACUCAAUAGAAUUAAGUCUCUUAAUGUUAAUAUAGGUAUGUGGGGGCAAUUAAUAGUAAUGAUUGCAAAGGCAUAUUCAAGAUAAAACCAGACUAGUACCAUAAGAAAAUACUCGUCUUUACAUAUCUCUUAAAUCAUUUGAUGAAAGUUUCACCACUUUGACCCUAAAAGUUCAAAUCCAUUACAACUUAUGACUUAACUGUUUACAUGACUUGAAAUAUUUACAUAAGGGCAUCUAAAAUUCAAGCAGUGUAUAGCUUGAUAAAGAUCCGUAAUUGGAACAGCUCAGAAAUAUAUCCUGUGAACAGAACUAACUAAAAGCCAGACUCAGCCAUUUCGGUGCAACUUACAGAGACUAUACUUGAACAGCUCAGCAGUAUAUCUUGUGAAGAGAACUAACUAAAAGCCAGACUCACAGCCAUUUUUGUGCAACUUACAGACACCAUAAACUGUGGUUCAUAACCACAGACAAAGUGAAAGAUUUUCACCACUUACAGAAAUAUCUUUUGAGAAACCCAAGUUCCAACACUUGAACAUGCAAUCCUGCUAAUAGCAGGCAUUGACAAUUUUUUCACCACAUCAAUUCUGAGUGGCACAGUUAAAUCAGUUUUUGGGAUCCUAGCAACAUCAUUGUGAACUCAUUUUAACUCCGUGAAACUGAUUUAUACUAAAGAAUAAUACUCAACUAAAGUACCCAAACCUCCAUUCCUGAUAACCUUGUUUCAAUAUCAUUACAUUUCAUACUGCCAUGUCUUUUACACUGAACUGGCUACAAAUUGUUUCAUCGGUAGAUGCCAUUUAUGUGUAUAAAUCACCCAUGUCAUAAUGAUGCUCACACUUUAAAUGAAAGAAUUAGAAACUGUCAUGGUUCAAAUAAGAAUUAACAAAUCAAAAACAGUAAAACUUCUACAUAAUAUACAAGACAGCAUCCAGGUAGGCUGCAAUUGAAAGAAGAUUCAAAUUUAUAGCUUCAGCAUUCAAAAUUCUCACCUUUGGGAAUAGGAGACCUGGUCCACUAGCUGAAUUGAUCAUUAAAACUUCAAGAAUUCUCUCUGGUGUAUCAUCGCCAUUUUCUCCUGAGUCUCUAUACUUGAAAGGAAUACACCUGGAAAAACAGCAGGCAAUAAUUUCUACUGAUUAGAUCAACCAAGUUAUACAAAGAGGAUGACACAUAUUGUCAUCAUUUUUCAAUUCCUCCUGGAGAAGGAAAAGAUUAGGAAAACAAAAAUCCUUAUAGAAGUUGAAAUAAUUAGUCUAACAUGCAACUAUUCUAGAAUAAUAAGCAGAAAAGAAAUGUCAACAAUACUUGCAUAUGGCAACAAUUGUAACAAAAGAAUACUUUAGUUGCAAACCUACAUCAAAUACUAUGCCACCAGACAACAAUGUAUCAGCAAAGAAAAAGACAAGGAAAAGAAUAAAUAUGCCCAUUGCAAUACAACCACAAUCAUGGAAUGCAAAAUAGGCAUAUAUGCUUAAAGCUACAGGAGUCACUAAUAGAACAGAGAAGUGGAAACAAUAAGUUGCAGCUCUGUUGAUAUCAAUUCCAAAGAGAUACUCAUUUUGGCUAGCAUGUAACCCAAAGUCCACCCGAUUUUCAUGCAUCAAAAGUUAUGUUUGAUGUAAUUUAUGAGAUUCUACCUUUAGCAUCCACCAAUACUUUAUUAGUCAUCUGUCACCAUUUUAGCACUUCUUACAGUUGUAUGGCAUUAGGUUUUGCUGUUGCAUACAACAUGUAGCAUAUAAUUGGUUAUCAUUCAUUAGAAAACAUCACAAAAGAAAAAGAGUUAGUGAGGAGACUAGGAUGCUCUGGAAAUGUAGCAUCGUUUGAAAACUUCAACCAUUUUACUUCACCACAUCGCAUCAUUGAGGUAGAUAAGAACAACAAGCUGGUUAGCUAUAUCUUCUCUACCAUCCCCUUUACAUGAAAUAAUAACGGAUAGCUACUGCCAAUAAUUACAUCCGCAAAAGGUUUGGAUAAUUGCGCCUUCAAUAAUUCUUAAGGUCAAAUCUCUGAUCUGCUUUCAAUAAUCCUCAAUACACAAAUAAGGUCAAAUCUCUAAUGUGCCUUCAAUAAUCCUCAAUGCACGAAAUAAACCUCUAGGUUUCAAACCCGGAAUGGACAAAAACAGAACACUGUUCUUUCAAUAGUCCGCAUUCCUCAAUGCACAAACCAAACCCUUACCAAAGAACCCAAUUGUUGAAAAGCCAAAUGCAUGGCAACUAAGACAAGAAUUUUCCUAAAUUCAGUCCAAUAAUUUUUGUCAGAAAACAAGGGGCAAUAAGACCAUAGCAAUUCCCCUCAUUCAUCAAUUUUGACAAACUAAACGCAACCCAUUUCAAAAAUUACACAUGCAAUGACGAAUCCAAUGUAAACAGCAUCAAAAAAUAAUGAAGAAAUUGAAAAUUACCCGGCUAUGAGGCGAUAACCAUCCUCAUACCGCUGCUGAUGCCGACCAGUCCGAGCCACCAAUUCUGACAUUUAUUACUUAUAUAAAAUAAAUCUAUGAAAAAAAAAAGAAUCUGAAUAUAUUCCUAUGUCCGAAUAUCACAAGAACAUUUCUUUGUCAAUGUCAUUCAUAUUGCGUUUCAUUAGCUUCUCCUUUCCUAACAUACAAAAAGGACCUCCUUCAAGGAUUAAAUUGUCAGGAGAAAUUUCAAGUCUCAAGUCCUAACAAUUAAUGAUGGUUCUGGGUUUGCAUUAUUCUUCUCAUUGUUGUUGAAACUCAACCUCUUCUUCCAAAGUUGUGAAGAUUGCAUCUUAGCUGUUUGUUGUUUUGUUUGUGAGGAGAGAGAGUUUUAGAGGCAGCGCGUAGAUCGGAGCAUUGGGGGGUGGCGAGGUGUUUUGGCUUUUUUUUUUUUUCUCCUUUGCCUUUUGAUAAUCACAACAGGUCGGUUACGGUUGCAACCUCUAUUUAAAUGUUCAUCCAUUUUCUACCUUAUGAUAAUUGAGAUUUACCAAUAUAUUAGUUUUAUUCUACCUUAAAUUGGUUUUAUAUUAUUCUAGAAUCUGUUUUGUCAAAAUGCGCAUAUGACUUUAGGAUUCUAAGUUAUUGGACUAUGUGCAUUUAUUGCAGUAGUAUUUAAUAUUUAAUAUUAUUAUUUUUGUACGUCAUGAUUUAUAAUAUAUCUGAAAACUAUCUUUUAUCACGCUGUAUACAUAUCGCAUUUAAUAGAUUGAUUUAAUUUGAUACAAAAUGUAAAUAAACCAUAUAUGUGCAUUAAAAUGGAAAGCUUCUUAUGUCUCAAUAAUGAGAGCACUUUUUGCUAUUUUUAUAAUCUAGGGGAUUUUAAUUAAAUCAAGUACAUUGAGUAAGAUAUAAAGGCUUCUUAUUUCACAAUAAUGAUAAGGUGCUUUUUAUCUAAUUCAUGUUCGACUAGAUUUCACUUCGGGAAAAAAAAUGUUCUACACUAAUAGAUUUUUGCUUCGUAGCCCUGCACGAGAUUUUGUAGCACGGGUAUUAUAUUGAAGGAACAAUUUUAGAUACUAAUAUAUUACUUCUUUAUUUUUUAAUAAGAUUAUUAUUACAAGGAACACACAACGGUGAGAGCAAUAUAAACAAAAGCUUUCCCUCACCUCCUACUGAAGUGAGGUGUAAAGGAAAUCAUUUAGAUGCCUCUAGCAAAUGGUUUGAAUUUGAUUCUAAAGGCACCUAUUUUGCUAAGUAGUAGUAUUAAUUUUUCACUUAUAGAAUGGCUUUACUGAAUACACUCAUGUUAUACCUAAUUAUAUGAUUGUUGUACUUUUUGAUGAUGGUAAAGUAUUGUCACCUAAUUAUUUGAUUGUUGCACCUUUUGAUGAUGGUAUAGUAUUGUCAAAUCUUGAACAUGGGCUUCGUUUGGAUUAACUGUUUUUUGACUUGUUUCUGAAAAAUUUUACUGUAGCAGAGUUUUUAGAGUAUAUUUUGAAAUAUUUAAAAGUAAUAAAGUUUUUAAAAUAUUUUUUAAACAUUAAAAAAAAUUAGACUACUUUUAGAGUACUUUUUAAAAAUUUUUUAGUAUUUGAAAAAUUAGUUUUUGAAAAAAUGAAGGAUAGUAUUGUCAAAUCCAAACACGGGGUAUAGUUUUUUUUUUUUUUUUGAACGAUAGGGAAAGUUUAUUUGUUUUCGUAUCUUCACUAAGGGAUAGAUUGACCUAGUAGUUAGAGAGCAAUUUCAGUUGCCUAUGAAACUAGGAACAAUAAAUCUAUAAUUAGUUUGUGUCACUAGAGUUAAACGAUAUAUUGUACAAAGGUGUGUGUUUAUAAGGCUAGUGCUUAUAAUAUCCAUUCAUCAACAGGUCCUAGUCAAUCAUUUUGCUAGUUAGGAUCAAUAAGCGAAAGUGAUAAAAAGAAAUAUAAGAUAGUGUUUGUUUGCCGGGAAAAUGGAAGGAAUGUUAACGAAAUAACUUCCUCGCAAGUUUUGAACAUUCAUUUGUCAGGAAACUUAACGGGAUCUAUCACAUAAAAUUUUCUCGUAACUGCUCUUUUUUUUUUCUGUAAAAAUUUUCUUGCUGAAAUUGAUAGGAAAUGAGUCACGGGAAAGUUUCAACUACUCAGAUUUCUUUUUCAACUCCUUUCUUUCUAAACUAUUUCCUCCAUUCUAAAUUUCAACAUAAAUUAAAAUAUUUUAGAAUUUGCAAUUCAAACAACCAGCUUGUUAGUUAGAUAUUUUAUUCUUAUUUUAACAAUUAAUGAAUUAGUAAUUUGUUGAAUUUAUAUGAUAUUAGAAUUUUUUUUCUUUUACAUUUUAUGCUCUUUUUUAUCUCUAUAUAUUUUUGAAAUAACGUACUCACACACACGCACGUAUAUUUUGUUAAAGAAUGUGAUUAAUUUUCAAGUAAACAACUCUUCUAAUAUGCAAAAUGUUAUAAUUAUUACAUGUUUUUACGUAUAUUAAAUACCAAAAAUGAAGAUGUUCAAUAUUGAAUAUUUGCUUUAACAAACGCACCAGCAAAUUUUUUCGUGACUUUCUGGGUAAACAAACACAAGAAUUUGUAUUUUCUUACAUCAUUUUCUUGUUAACCAAACAUAUGUGGAAAAGUUAGUUUCAUUUUCUUUUAUCUCACUUCACUUUUCUCAAGACACACUUUCUUACACAAUUUCCUAUAAAACAAAUAGAGGUGAUCUUUCUUUUCACUUUUCAAGCAACAUUUCUUUUUUUUUCUUUUUUUUUGUGAUCUCAAAACUAACUUUCCUAUUUACUCUUAGGCGCUACGCCAAGACAGUGUUUGGUUGCAAGGAAAGUAGAGGGAAAAUAGGAUUUUUUUUUUUUUUGUCAUUUGUUUGAUAGGAAAGGCAUGGGGUCCACAAGGAAAAUUUUUUUCAUAACUAUCUAUUUUUCUUGCAAAAUUCAUAAGAAACUAUGUUAUGAAAAAUUUUGGUAGUUAUUUUGUUGCAGAUGGAGUUUGUAUCCUACAAUAUCUCCUCUAGCAUAUUAUUUCAUACAAUUUGUUGAGGCUAUCAAUUCUAAAAUAUCUUAGCAUUUCAAUUAUCUAUAUGUUGGUGCUAAAUGCACAUGCGAAGUGUGAGUAAUUUAGAAAUACUUUUUUUGCGAAUUAAUUUUACUUAAAAUUUUAUUACUAAAGCAAAUUGUGAUAUUUUAACCUUUUUUAUCGAAUAAUGGUUAUUUUAAUUUGGUAGUUACGAUACUUAUAUGCAGUUAUUUUGUCAAGACGUGUGUAGAUAAGUAUGGUUAAAACUAGUCAGCAAUUCAUGUUUAGAUAGUAAAUUGAUAAGUAAUUUUAUUAGAGUGAAGUUAGAAGUAUAUAAAAUGACAAAAAGUGCUUAACCCAAACUCCCACCACUCCUUUUAUGUAUAGUAUAUAGUAGAAACUCUUCGUUCAUAUAUAGGCCUUGUUCUCAUUUGCUUUAGGUUUUGCAACAUUUGAUUAUGGAAAACGAUUAUAUAAAAUAAUCAGAAUCAACAAAAGCUAGUAUUUGGUUGAUUAUGGAUUUUAGUUUCUUGGGUUAUUAAAAGAGUAAAUCUUUCUUACACUGACGGUGUAUACACUAUCAUCGUUGGGUUCAUGACAUAUGUGUAAAAGUUGAAUUUUAAAUUCAAAUUUUGCAUAAUUGUCAUUCAUCCAACGCUGAUAGUGUAUACACUGUCAGUGCACGAAAGAUUAAUCCUUAUUAAAAACACUACAAUCUGAAUAUAGAAGCAAAUGAGAAUAUAAAAAAAAACUAAUUAUUUAAAAUCAGAAUCUAUAAUCACAUAGAAUAAUUAAUUGAGAACAAAUCUAUAGUAUAUAUGUCAAAUAACUAGGACAUCUAAGCACUAUCAGAUUAUCUUUUAAAUAAAUGCAUUACUAAUUGCUUUCUAACAUUCCAAUCAUCUAUAUAAAUCAAACAAGCAUAAUGUUUGAGCAGAUAUCAGAUGACCUUUAAAAAACACUAUGAAAUCAAAUAUUUUCAUAUUUUACCCUUAAAAAACACUAUCAGAUCAAAUAUUUACUUUUUAUUCUCUUUUGUGGCAAUAUAUUAAUUAACAAAUUUAAGUAAGUUAAACCUAUUUAUCUCCAUUAUUAAAUAUAUUUAUGUUUUCAACAUGUAACUUUUUUUGGAAAUAUGUAACUUAUUUAUAAAGUAACAAUUCUAACCAAUUUUCUCACGAUUUUCUUGCAAAACAGACACAUCAAUUUUUUUUUCUGACAUCAUUUUCUUGUUAACUGAACAUACUAUAGACACCAAAAUUUUACCAGGAAAAAAAAUGUUUACCAUUUUUAUUUGUAUUUUAGAUAUUUUAUAUUACUUUAUUUUAUUUUCUUCAUUUUUAUUACUAUUUAGUUGUUUUUGUUGUAAAUCUUACUUUAGUUUAUUUUGUUCAUUUUCUUAACAAAAUCAUCUUUUUCCAAUUCAUUUUAGAAAUAUUAGGCAGAAAAGAAAAUUAGAAAAACAAGACAAGAAAAGAAAUAAAAAUUACAGAUUUUUUGAAAAAAAGAAAAAGGAAAGAAAAGACAAAGCAAAAAAAAGAAAAAAGAAAAAAAAAUCAACAAAAUCAAAUCAAAUCAAAAGAAGAAAAUAAAUCAAAAAAGGAGUGCACGUGCACCCGCACGCGCACGCGCGCUGGUUUCUUCUUCAAAGAAGAAGCAAAAACAGUAUAAGAUUUUGCAGCGGCAAUUUGGAUCCCAUUUCCACCCAUUUUCUUGCAUUUUUUUUUCCCUUUAAGCCUAUUUCAGUACAAUGCCAACUCAUCUUAGCUGGAAACAUCAGGAAAAUUUCAGAAUUAAGAGCCGUCUAAUGGCUCAAAGUUUGACAAGAAAGUGCAGCAAAUCUGCACCAUUAAUCUUAGGUUUUGAAGGGGUGUUUUGUGUCUAUAAAAGGCUCAUAAACGAAAGAGGAGAGAAGAGGGGCGGCGGAGAGGAGAAGAGAUAAAGGUGGCAGAGAGAAAAGAGAGAGAAAAGGGAAGCAGAAAAAUGGAGGGAAAAACGAAAAGGGAAAAUGCAGAAAAAAUUCUUGACAAAAACUUGAGCCAGGGUUGUUGGAACAGUCACGUUCCCCACCAGAUUCCAAUCUCUCAAGGGCCUUUUGUGAUAAGAUCUUGUUUUCUGGAAAAACUACGUUAGUUGGGGAGGAAGUUUCAUGCUAUAAAUUUUUGGAAAAAAACAUUGCAAUGCCCUCAAAUCGAGACCUCAACCUGCUACUUUCACCAUACUUGAGAAACUGCGGAAGGAAAUUUUCACUUCGUGACCAACACUCUGUUGUCAAAGUGGCAAAUAACAACGUUAGCAAUUGUAAUUUAGAUUCCUUGAGUCGUGCUAAAUAGCACUGUCCUAAGAAACUAUUUCAGGGUAUUGAAAUGUUUCCCCAGGAUUAAACAAGCCUUCCUCUUGUCGUCUGGCAAGAAGAAUUAGAACCAGCAAAUCUUUUAAAACCAGCAGUAAAAGAAGAAAAGAAAAAGAAUAAAGAGAUGAGAUGGGGUGGAGAAAUAUUGGAAGUCUAGUGUUCCGUCUGUCACAAUGGCCUUGGUAGUGCUUGGUAUUUAUAGGCUUGAGAAGUGUACGUCAGAUGCAGGAAAAUUUUAAAACGUGCUUGGGUUUGAAGAUAAGAUAUGAUUUUCCACUAACAAAGGAAUCUGCUGGAGUCUUGCAAAAAAUUAGGAAACAUGGAAAAAGUUGAUAGCUACAGAGAAGACUCUCGUCUUCUGAUGUUGCUAACAGCUAAUAGGAUAUCUAUUGGCUUUAUCCCUUGAAGCUUGCAACGGAAAUAAGAAAACUCAUGAAACCAAUCAGGAGAUAACUUUUGAAAGAGUCAAACUUCUAACCAACCAAUAAUUCGUUUGAUGAAAAUCUGAUUCACUUUACUAUGCACAUAGAACAAAGAAAACAUGGAAAAAAUCUUUUGAAAUAUUAUUUACAACAAUCUCCCACCUAUUUCAAAAGAUUUUUGGAUAAGAAAUAAGAAAAGAAUCUGCUGGAUUUGUUUUGGAUUUAAUGCAAUUAGUUUGGUGUCUUUUAGACUAUGAACCAAACUUAGAUUAAUAAGACAUGAUUUACUUAUUUGUUGGUGAAAUGUGAAUUUCUAUGAACCAACAAUUCUUGUUAUAUAACAGCGGUCUUAUCAAUCACAUUGUACCCCAUAAUUUGCUGUUCAUUGCGGUUUUGCGCCUUUAGGCCAUGCGCCUGCCUGGGUUUUCAUGAGAGCUCUAAAGAUUUGGCCAAAAAAUCUUAUAGGAGCGGCCCCAAUCCACUCUCAUAUAGGUGAAUUUAUCAAGUAUAUACUGCUAUAGAUACACCUUCCUAAAGGGAUAUAAAUUCAUGAAGAGUUUUAAACUCAACCUCACAACUACUAGCAGUCAAAGCACUUAUCUCAGUAGGGAAUAUAAUUUUUAGUGCUUCACAGUCAAUAUUGACUUGUUGUUACCCAUAUGAACCUACUUCAUGAGAUCACCAAUCACAUAGGUUGGGUUACCAUCUCUAUUGACAAUCGUUGGCUUAAGUCCCAUUUCUUUUGUAGUUUGAAGAAUCAAUUUUCUUCCUACAGGUUUAGUCAGAGGAUUGGCCAAAUUCAACUCUGACUUCACAUAAUCAAUGGAAAUAAUUCCAUCUCUAAGCAGCUGCUUUACGACAUCAUGUCUCAAUCUCAUGUGUCAACUUUUACAAUUAUACGAUUUAUUUUUAGCAAUAGCAAUAGCCGCUUGACAAUCACAGUGUAUAGGCACGGGAGGGGACAUAUCCUUAAUUGGUGGAAUAUUGGUUAAGAAAUUUCUUAACCAAUUUGCCUCAGAACCAAUCAACUCCAGAGCUAUGAACUCCGAUUCCAUAGUUGACCGAGCAAUAAUUGUCUGUCUAGCUGACUUCCAUGCUACUGCACCACCACCAAGGGUGAACACAUAUCCACUAGUGGAUUUUGUAUCAUUUGAAUCAGAGAUCCAAUUAGCAUCACUGUAACCUUCUAAUACAGUGGAAAAUCCACUAUACAGGAUACCAGAAUUCAUGGUACCUCUCAAAUAUUUCAUUAGUCUGACUAAUGCAAACCAAUGCUCACGAUUGGGAUUGUGAGUAUAUCUACUCAGUUUACAUACAACAUAAGCUAUAUCCGGUCUAGUGAAAUUCAUCAGAUGCAUCAGACUCCCAAUAAUCUGAGCAUAUUUAGACUGAGCAAUUGAGUCACCAUUAUUUUUCUUUAAUUGAGUGUUAGCGUCAUAAGGAGUACUCACAGGUGUCACAUCAUAAUUUUCAAACUUCCUAAGAAGUCUCUCUGUAUAAUGUUCUUGUAACAACAUUAUACCAUCACCUCUGCUUAUGAUUUUAACACCUAAUAUCAUUUUGGCUUCACCCAGACUUUCAUAUCAAAAUUAGAAGACAAAAAAAUUUAGUACUAUUUACAAUACUUAUACUGGUACCAAAUAUAAGCAUGUCAUCUACAUACAAACUGAUUAGCACAUAUUGAUCAUUCAUAACUUUGACAUAUAAACAUUUAUCCACUUCUACAGAUGAGAAUCCAUCUUUCAUCAAUACUUGAUCAAAUUUCUCAUGCCACUGUUUAGGAGUUUGUUUUAGGCCGUAAAGAGAUUUAAUUAGUUUACAAACCUUAUUUUCUUGUUCAGAUACAAUACAUCCCUCAGGUUGAAACAUAUAAAUUUCUUUUUCUAAAUCACCAUUUAAAAAGACUGUUUUGACAUCCAUUUGAUGAAUAAUAAGUUUAUAGAUAGAAGCUAAAGCAAAUAAAACUCGAAUAGACGCAAUUCUUGUUACUGGUGCAAAUGUAUCAAAAUAGUCAAUAUUUUAUUUUUGAGAAAAUCCUUUUGCUACUAAACGAGCUUUGUACUUUUCUAUAGAGCCAUCAGAGUUAUAUUUUCUUUUAAAAAUCCAUUUGCAACCAAUAGGUUUUGCACCAGGAGGUAAGUCCACCAAAAUCCAAGUUUUAUUUGACAAGAUAAAAUCAAUUUCAGAUUUAAUUGUUUCUUUCCAAAAUUUACAAUCAGGGGAAGAAAUAGCAUCGGAAUAUGUUAAAGGAUCAUUAUCAACAAGAAAAGUUUGAAAAUCAUUUCCAUAAGAAAAUUCUUUUAUUGGCCUUUUGCUCCUUCUUAAUUCCUCAUUCGGAAUUAUUUCUCUAUUUAUUUCAACAGGUGCAUGAGAAAUUUUACUAGACAAUGGAAAAAUAUGUUCAAAGAAUUCAGCAUUCUUUGUCUCAAUAAUUGUAUUACAAUCAAGCACAUCACUUUUUAAAACAAGAAAUCUAUAUGCAGCACUAUGUUCAGCAUAUCCAAUAAACAUACAAUCAGAAGUUUUAGAACCUAAUUUUCUUUUCUUAGGUUCAGGCAACAAUACUUUAGCAAGACAUCCCUAUACUUUUAAAUAUUUCAAAUUUGGUUUAUAACUUUUUCAUAACUCAUAAGGAGUUUUACCGGUUUUCUUAUGAGGUAUCCUAUUUUGUAAGUGACAUGCAGAUAAAAUAGCUUCUCCCCAUAAAUUAUCAGGAGCAUGAGAGCUAACUAACAUAGAAUUUAUCAUUUCUUUUAAUGUUCUAUUUUUCCUUUCAGCUACCCCAUUAGAUUCUGGUGAGUAUGGUGGUGUUAUUUCAUAUAUAAUGCCUUCACGUUCACAGAAAUUAUCUAAGGCUAAAUAUUCACCUCCUCUAUCCGAUCUAAUUCUUUUUAUCCUUUUAUUAAGUUGAUUUUCUACUUUAGUCUUGUAAGAUAAAAAAAUAUUAUGAGUAUCAUCUUUAUUUCUAAGUAGAUAAAACUUAGUGUAUUUAGAGUAAUCAUCUAUAAAGGUAACAUAAUAUUUUUUUUCACCUCUAGUCAUAGUUUGUUUUAAGUCACCUAAAUCUGUAUGAAUUAAACUUAACAGUUCAGUUUCCUUUUGGACAGAUAUACAACUUCUCUUUGUUAAUUUUGUUUCUGCACAUAUCUCACAUUUAUCCAUUUUAUCAUUAACACCAGAAAUCAGGUCACAAGAUUGCAUUUUCUUUAUAUAACUCAUAUUAACAUGUCCUAAUCUUGCAUGCCACAAAGAAAUUGAAUCAAUAAUAUAAGCAGAAGAAGAAGCAUUCUCAUUGAUCACAUUGAAAAUGUUAAGUACAAAGAGUCCCUGAUUACAAUAGUCCUUACCCACAAAUACAUUAUUUUUGGUCAUUAUAAUCUUUCCAGAUUCAAAUGACACUUUCACUCCAACUUUUCCUAGCAAUGCUACGGAAAUCAGAUUUGCCCGAAUGUUGGGCACAUGUAGUACAUCAUUGAGAGCCAAAGUUUUUCCUGAAGUGAGUUUCAAGAAUACUUUGUCCUUACCCAGAACAUUAGCAGUUCGUGAGUCACCAAGGUAGACUACUUCCUCAUUAUCCCCUAUAGGAGUAUAGGAGGAAAAUGCUUCUCGAUUUGCACAUAUGUGCCGAGUAGCCCCACAGUCUACCACCCACUCUUUGACAUUGGCUGCAAUGUUCACUUGAGAGAUGACAACAGCAAUUAUAUCAUCUCCUUCGGUUAAGUGCACCUUAGGAGGAUUACCAUUUGCUUUGUCACAUUUAUUAAGUCUGCAUUGGACUGCAUAAUGUCCUGAUUUUUCACAAUAAAAGUAAUUGCCUUUCUUCUUCUUAAAGUUGGGAUUGUUAGGCUUGAAAUUAAAAUUUUUGGGCUUGUAAUUCUGGGAUUUAUUGGCGUACCUUUUAUUAUUGCUUUGCACCAGAUUGGCUUUGUAAGCAAUCUCCUUUGCCUUGGUAGCUCUCAACUCCCUUUUGUUUGAAUCCUCAAUGAGGAUGUGCUUCAUGAGCUCAUCCAUGGUAUAAUUUUUCUCCUUGUGUUUCAAGUUGUUUUUAUAGUCGGCCCAUGACUCCGGUAGCUUUUCAAUCAGCAUGCCUGCAGCGAAUUUCUUAGAUAGAUUGAUGUCUUCAUUUUUCAAGUCCUCUAGCAGCAUUUGAUACUCGGUGAUUUGAAUUUUCAUCUCUUUGUCAUCAGCCAUUUGUCAUUGGUUGUAUUUUCCUACGACGAAUUUUUGCUUGGUUGCAUCUUCGGCAGCAAACUUUGUUACCAAGACUUCCCAAAUUGCCUUGGCUUUUUUGCUGCUACAGUAGACAUCAAAUAAUUCAUUAAAGAGUGUUUGAAGGAUAGUGUGUCGACAUACCUUAUUGGCGUAUUGCCAUGAUUCUUAAGUCUUGGCAUCCGCAGUUGCAGAAGGUUGAGAUUCAGUGAGCGCAUAAGCUACUCCAUGGAUGUCAAGUAGAGAGUACACACGUUCUUGCCAUCUUUUAAAAUUUUCAUUGGCGAAAAUUUCGAUUUUGGAUACAUCUGAAAAGGGCUUGGCGCUAACAUUGUCAGAUGCCAUAGUUUCUUAGAUUGUUGUCAAAAUGGCAAAUAACAACGUUAUCAAUUGUAAUUUAGAUUGCUUGAGUCGUGCUAAAUAGCACUGUCCUAAGAAACUAUUUCAAGGUAUUGAAAUGUUUCCCCAGGAUUAAACAAGCCUUCCUCUUGUCAUCUGGCAAGAAGAAUUAGAACCAGCAAAUCUUUUAAAACCAGCAGUAGAAGAAGCAAAGAAAAAGAAUAAAGAGAUGAGAUGGGGUGGAGAAAUAUUGGAAGUCUAGUGUUCCGUUUGUCACAAUGGCCUUGGCAGUGCUUGGUAUUUAUAGGCUUGAGAAGUGUACGUCAGAUGCAGGGAAUUUUAAAACGUGCUUGGGUUUGGAGAUAAGAUGUGAUUUUCCACUAACAAAGGAAUCUGCUGGAGUCUUGCAAAAAAUUAGAAAACGUGAAAAAAA
rnacentral:lncRNA from 1 species